rnacentral:rRNA from 1 species
AGCUUUUAGAAUUUAUUUCAAGUGAAGCCUGCCCAGUGCUAUUAGUAAAUGGCCGCAGUACCUUGACUGUGCUAAGGUAGCAUAAUCAGUUGACUUUUAAAUGGAGUCGGGAAUGAAAGGACUUAUAGGGGCUAACUGUCUCUUAUAUAUUUUAUUGAAUUUAUUUAGUAGGUGAAAAUACCUUAUUACAGAAAAAAGACGAGAAGACCCUUAGAGUUUUUAUUAAAAGUUAAAAUUACUUGUAUUUUUGUUGGGGCGACAUUUGAAAAUGUAAUCUUCUUUUAUUAUAUAAACCGACUUUGUAUAAUAGAUUAAACUACCUAAGGGAUAACAGCGUAAUUCUUAUAGAGCUUGCGACCUCGAUGUUGGACUAGGAAUUUUGUUGGUUAGCCGCCAAUAUAUAUUGUUCUGUUCGAACUUAAUUUCC